GGAAUAUUGGACAAUGGGCGCAAGCCUGAUCCAGCCAUGCCGCGUGAGGGAUGAAGGCCUUCGGGUUGUAAACCUCUGUCAGGGGGGAAGAACCCGGAGUCGGUGAAUAACCGGCUCCGCUGACGGUACCCGUAGAAUAAGCCCCGGCUAACUUCGUGCCAGCAGCCGCGGUAAUACGAAGGGGGCUAGCGUUGCUCGGAAUCACUGGGCGUAAAGCGCACGUAGGCGGAUCUUUAAGUCAGGGGUGAAAUCCUGGAGCUCAACUCCAGAACUGCCUUUGAUACUGAGGGUCUCGAGUCCGGGAGAGGUGAGUGGAACUGCGAGUGUAGAGGUGAAAUUCGUAGAUAUUCGCAAGAACACCAGUGGCGAAGGCGGCUCACUGGCCCGGUACUGACGCUGAGGUGCGAAAGCGUGGGGAGCAAA
rnacentral:rRNA from 1 species